rnacentral:rRNA from 1 species
UUGACCUCAAAUCAGGUAGGACUACCCGCUGAACUUAAGCAUAUCAAUAAGCGGAGGAAAAGAAACUAACAAGGAUUCCCCUAGUAACUGCGAGUGAAGCGGGAAAAGCUCAAAUUUAAAAUCUGGCGGUCGCUAUGGCCGUCCGAGUUGUAAUCUGGAGAAGUGUUUUCCGCGUCGGACCGUGUACAAGUCUUCUGGAACGGAGCGUCAUAGAGGGUGAGAAUCCCGUCUCUGACACGGACUGCCGAUGCUUUAUGUGAUACGCUCUCGAAGAGUCGAGUUGUUUGGGAAUGCAGCUCAAAAUGGGUGGUAAAUUCCAUCUAAAGCUAAAUAUUGGCGAGAGACCGAUAGCGAACAAGUACCGUGAGGGAAAGAUGAAAAGCACUUUGGAAAGAGAGUUAAACAGUACGUGAAAU